GACGAACGCUGGCGGCGUGCCUAACACAUGCAAGUCGAACGGAAAGGCCCUGCUUUUGUGGGGUGCUCGAGUGGCGAACGGGUGAGUAACACGUGUGUAACCUGCCCUUGACUUUGGGAUAACUUCUGGAAACUGGGGCUAAUACCGGAUAGGAGCUCCUGCUGCACGGUGGGGGUUGGAAAGUUUCGGCGGUUGGGGAUGGACUCGCGGCUUAUCAGCUUGUUGGUGGGGUAGUGGCUUACCAAGGCUUUGACGGGUAGCCGACGUGAGAGGGGGACCAGCCACAUUGGUACUGCGGGACGGAGCAGUCGCGUACGGGACGCAGCAGUGGGGAGUAUUGCGCAAUGAGCGGAAGCCUGUGACGGCAGCGCCGCGUGCGUGAUGACGGCCUUCGGGGGGUGAACCGCUUUCGCCUGAGACGAAGCGUGAGUGACGGUAAUGGGUAAAGAAGCACCGGCUAACUACGUG
rnacentral:rRNA from 1 species